CUAAAGAGGAGGAAGGAAUGGGCAACGGUAGGUCAGCAUGCCCCGAAUUAUCCGGGCUACACGCGGGCUACAAUGGUCAGGACAAUGGGUAUCGACACCGAGAGGUGGAGGCAAUCUCCUAAACCUGUCCUUAGUUCGGAUUGUGGGCUGCAACUCGCCCACAUGAAGCUGGAAUCCGUAGUAAUCGCGUUUCAAAAUAGCGCGGUGAAUAUGUCCCUGCUCCUU
rnacentral:rRNA from 1 species